rnacentral:rRNA from 1 species
GACGAACGCUGGCGGCGUGCUUAACACAUGCAAGUCGAACGGAAAGGCCUAGCUCGCUGGGUACUCGAGUGGCGAACGGGUGAGUAACACGUGGGUGAUCUGCCCCUGACUUUGGGAUAAGCCUGGGAAACUGGGUCUAAUACCGGAUAUUCAUUUUUCCUCGCAUGGGGAUUUGUGGAAAGCUUUUGCGGUUGGGGAUGGGCCCGCGGCCUAUCAGCUUGUUGGUGGGGUAAUGGCCUACCAAGGCGACGACGGGUAGCCGACCUGAGAGGGUGAUCGGCCACACUGGGACUGAGACACGGCCCAGACUCCUACGGGAGGCAGCAGUGGGGAAUAUUGCACAAUGGGCGCAAGCCUGAUGCAGCGACGCCGCGUGAGGGAUGACGGCCUUCGGGUUGUAAACCUCUUUCAGCUCCGACGAAGCGCAAGUGACGGUAGGAGCAGAAGAAGCACCGGCCAACUACGUG